rnacentral:tRNA from 1 species
GCAGGUGUCGCCUAUCGGUAUGGCGUCAGCUUCCCAAGCUGAUUUUGGCGGGUUCGAUUCCCGUCACCUGCUCCA